rnacentral:lncRNA from 1 species
UUUGAGUGGUGUAAAACCCUUGUCGAUGAGACUGCGAUACUGCACAUAGGCCAUGAAGCCACAAGCACUAGCUGUCCAUAAAAGAAGGUCGGGAAUGCCGAGUUCUUGAGCAGCGUCUAAAGUGAAGCUCAUGAUAGCGUCAGAAAAUAUGCAAGUGACGGGAGGACCGUCGUGGUUGAGUUUGGCGAGAAGGCGUCUAAAGGGAGCCAAGCAGUUCUUUUUGGUGGAUACACAGAGGGAAGGAAUGUCUUGGGUUGCGUCGACGUCGGACGGGGGGAGACCAUCGGGAAUGGUUUCGAACUGAAAGGUGGGGAGACCACUGAGGCAGUUGGGGCCCUGGGCAUUGAGUAAGCGUGUGUGGUUGAACUCUGUGUUGACAAAGGUGAUACGAAAACCUCUGCAAUGGAGGAGCUUUGCUAGUUUUAGCAUAGGAUUGAUAUGGCCCUGAGCAGGGUAUGGAAUACAAACUGCAUGAGGCUUCUCCGAACCCAUUUUUGCACUGGGAUUGGGAUGCCCUCCCGAUACACUGAGCUGGAAAUAUUUUGGUAUCAUUCCCGUGCUGCAGUAGCGUCACCCACACUCUUUAUCUUCGAAUCAGAGUCAACAGGAAGGAUUAAUGUAUGCAAUAUCCCUGAUGGAAACAUUACUAUUUUUAGUUGGCUGCAAUUGAUUUUUAAUUUAUUAUUAUUCAUGUUAAAGGAAAAGCCCGCACCGGAGCCUGGUGACUUAUGUUUCAUUUUUCUUGUAACAAUUAAGUGACCGCUAUUCAUGAAAAGUACGAGAAAGAACGUGACAAACUAGGAUCCUGGCGUGAGCCUUUACCAUCUUCUUAAGAGAAUAAUGAACCACCUAUAUAUGCAUCACCAUUUGUGGAAGCUGAUGCUCUGUUUAAAAAUUUUCGACGGCUGCCCUCGUAUCAAUAUAUUGCGCUGGCAUGAGUCCAAAGCAUAUUUAUAUUUCCUAGUUAAAAUAUGAUGAUAAUUAUUUUCAAAACAAAUCUAUUUUCAAAUGCAAAAAAUUAAUGAAGAUUACUAACUUGCCCAUAGAACAACACAGUAUAUCUAUCCCAAUGACGGUAAACAUCUCCGAUCCGUCAGUCAGGAACAAGGCAUCUACCCUUCCACCUACGUUCGUAAUUACACCAUUUCGUUUUGUUUUUGUCUUUUAGUGAAACAUUAAGGUCAAAGAUAGCGUGUAUAUGUAGUUUUGUACUUCACGAGGACUCCUUCCAAGGUCCAUAUACCGAGAAAUCCUACGUCACUUUCCUAAAAACGAGGGGAAAAAUGGAACUCGGAGAACUCCGCAGCUGCCAAACUAAAUCAAAGGACUAAGUUAUGGUCCACGGAUUUAAUACUGAUACGAACGUUAUGAUCAUGCACCCUCAUAUUAUGAUCUUCAUCCAGCUCAUCCCUAAUGGGUCUCCUCCAAAUAUUGGCUUCAAACUUCUGUAACUGUCUUGCAUGGAUGAAUGAAAGCCAUGUUGACGGUAGAGGAAACGCAGUCAAGAAUUGACGAGCAGGAAACUCUUGCCACGUGGAAUGAUAGCAUCAGCGCGGAUUGCCUUGAAUAGUUGUGUGCAUCCUUACUCCUUACGCAUCAUCGUCGAUCGACUAUCUAAUAUUUAUUUUCCCUACAAAUUAAGCGGUUGAUGGGUGACAAUUGAACUACACUGCAGGCCCCGCAUAAGAAUAAAUUGAUGAUAUGGCCCUUCUUUUUUUACAAUAUCUUCUGAGUUCUGGCUUGACAUCGAAGUUGAAACAGAGUAAUAAAUUGAAUGGAUAACUUGUUGAUCACUCCAACAAACAAAAAGAAAAGAAAAGAAAACACAUUACCCCACAAAAUAAUAUAAGAGAAUUACACUACAGGGCGAUGGCCUAAUAAAAAAUAUUCUUAUUGAAAAUAUUAAUUACACAUGAAUAAAUGUCAAUAUAUAUAUAUAUAUAUAUAUAUAUAUAUAUAUAUAUAUAUAUAUAUAUAUAUAUAUAUAUAUAUAUAUAUAUAUUAUAUUUUCAUAUAUGUUGAGGCCUCGCGUCCCUGGCGAUUCACGUAGUUGCUGCGAAAUGGAUGGACGCACGAUUUCAACCAAUAUAGAUUCCUGGUUCAAUCGUUCCUGCAAAAGGCGUCCGGACAGGAUGUCCGAACACACCUUCCGAUGAUUUUGUCAGCCAUGGAAAGAGAGAUAAAUCAGUUGGCCUUUUCUAGGUAUCUCCAGCUUACCUUCCUCUUUGUGUGAAGGUUUUUAUAUAUAGUACCAGAAGCUUUGUCUCCCUCUUUAAUGGUAGAGAGAUAUUUUGGCUUGUCAUGAUGCUUUUAGGUGGUGGCAGGGCCAUCAUCACUCAUAGGGCGGCUGCCAGAGAAUGUGGGAGGCACCGCAGCUUGUCAGAGAUCGUGGGAAGUGACUUGCCGUCACUUCAUUCCUGUCAUCUCAUUCUGCAAGUGGCGGAAUGUGGGUCAUGACAGGCUGUUGUGAUGACGUGCAAGAUUUGCUUACUUCAGUCAAUGAUCCGGACGAACAUAUCCGGAUAGUAUAUGUCGGUCGUCCGGAUGCGAUAUGUCGAUUGUCCGGAUGUUAUGGUUGUGAGUGUUGUGUGCCUCUCCUUGAGGGAGUCCGGAUAGGAGAAGCGCGCCAUGUAUACUCUUGGGGAAAUUCGGAUGAGAUUGAUCCAGAUGAGAAUGUGUGCCACGUGUCAUCAGGAGAUGUGUGCCACGUGUUGGGGGGUCCCUACAAUAUAUAUAUACAAAAAGGAAAAACUUGUGCUAAAUUUACAUGAUAUUUAUACUUAGAUAUAAAAGACUUGUCCUACUAUGCCUAUUAUGAAUAUAUUUAAGUAUUUUCUUUCAAUUUCUUUAUUUAUUUUUUAUAUCACUAAAAAUAUUACAUACUAAUAUGUAUAAAUAUCAAAUAUAAUUUUUUUUUUAAUAUUUUCACAUAUAUACAAGAUAUUUGUACUAAAUGUAUAAGAGAAGAUAUAAGUUAUAAUGGAUUAUGCACGUUUACCUAUUGUAAAUAUAUUUUCGUAUUUUUAUGGAUAUUAAUAAAAAUGUGAAAAUGUUUUAUAUAUUUAAUAUAUAUAAUUGUCUUGUAUAUGUGUAAACAUAUAAAAAUAAUAAUUAUAUUUGUAUAAAGUUGUAUUUUUUACAUGCGUUCUUACUUGAUAGUGAGACUUGGUUUUUAUUUAGGAAGAAUUAUCUUUUGGGGGUAGAUGGGCCCCCAAAUUAACAAAAAGUCUAUAUAACUCUUCAAAUUGAGUUGAAGGAUAUGAAAUAGUAACGGACAAAUAUACCCUUUAAGAACAUAUAUAAAAUAUUUUAUAAAAUUAAGUUAAAUAAUUUUUUUUCAAUAAUUUUUUUUUCAAAGAUACUAAAUUAAAUAAAAGUAGUUUUCAAAAAUAUUAAAUUAAAUAUUUUUUUUCAAAAAUAUUAAAUUAAAUUAAAGUAUUUAAAAAAAUAUUAAAUUAAUUUUUUUUAAAUAUUAAAUUAAAUAAAUUUAUUUUUAAAAAAUAUUAAAUUAAAUAAAAGUAUUAAAUUACAUAAAAGUAUUUUUUUUAAAUAUUAAAUUAAAUAAAAGUAUUUUUUAAAAAUAUUAAUUUUUUUUCUCAAAAUCAACAAAGGGCAUUUUUGGAAAUAUUGAAGGAUGAUAUCCUUCAACUCAAUUUCCCUACUUUCAUUGGGUCUUGGGCUCAAUUUGAAGAGGUACAUGGACCUUUUGUUAAUUUGGGGGCCCAUCUACCCCCAAAACAUAAUUGUCCCUUUUAUUUAUGUAAAAAUUAAUUUUUAAAAUUUUGAUUUAGAGUUGUCACUUUGUAGACCCCCAUUUUGGGAGUCAUUCUUGCAGUCGAUGCUUGACAAGUGUCACCAUCUCGCAUGGCCACGUGUCACUCCCGGAUUAGUCAAUGUGGGAUCAAAAUAGUGGAAUUGAAGAAGCAAUCAGAAUAAGACACCUGUCAAGAGGAUAUUCUAAAAUCUUUAGGCAGUUAGAGAUAUUUUUUUGGAAGGGGGUCCCGCAGACCGUCAAGGGGCACAGAUGAGAGAGAAGGAAAGUGGUUGCAGAAGGAGUGUUGUAGGAAAGGUGGCUGCGACAGAGAUUGUUGAAAAGGCAAAUCCGGAAAAGGGGGGAGGGGACAACAUUGAGAGGGACAUAUGGGAGAAAAAGAGAAGAUCCGAAGAGGAGAAAGGAAGGAAAAGAAAAUCCGAGAAAGGAAAAGAAAAAUUGGGGGGGGGGAGGGGGGGGUGGUUUCGGAAAAAGGAGGAGAGAUCCAGAGGAGAGUUUGAGCUUGGAGGGCAAGCAGGGAGCAAAAUUCAUUGAGAGAACGAAAACUUGAUUCUCUUUGCUUGAGGAACCAGGUAUGUAUACCACCUUCCCCCAUCUCUCUUUAUUCACUGCUUUUCCUUGACAUUAUGCUGUUUGGGGUGGAUACUGAAGGCCACUGGUUUGUUUGUUGAGAGAUAAUCCUGCAUUUGUGUUUGCCAUUGUUGAUCUUAAUUUACUCUGCCCCUAUUGUGAUUAUGAAAUGCCCCGGAAUCAUGCAUGUGGUUGCAUUUGAUAUGGUUUACCCACCUGCUCAGAAGAUUCAUGGAUGAUUCAUGAAAUGGAUUUUCUGAGAUUUUUCUUUAUUUAUUCGUCUUCUUUCAUACUCUGUUUCUCUACUUCCCCUGUUUCUUGAUAUCCAUCCAUGGUAUGCAUCCAUUUUCUCAUCCCUGCUCGAAAGAGAUCCUAGAAAACCUAAAGUAGUUGUCAUGGCAGCAAAGCUCACCUCAUCAGCAUCCCCAUACCCAUUCGUUCAUCUAUCCACCUCUCUCUCUAGGUCGUCAUACCCAUUUCCUCACUCAAGCUUGCAAGAAUCAAGCAUCCUCCACCGCACCUAUCUUCCUCUCAUUCAUUCUCCAUCCCACUCUCUCGCUUACAUGGAGUCUCAUGGGUGCAUGCUAUCCUUCACUCUUUCGCAUACCCAUUAAAACCACUCACCCAAGCCUCCAUAUCCAUACGGCCCACCAAACCCGUUUCCCUCUCUAAUCUUUCACCUACACCCGGAAUCCUCCCCGCCGCCAUUCCAUCCGGGUGUCUCACACCCGGAAUUCCUCUUCGCCGCCAUUCCAUCCGGGUGUCCUACACCCGGAAUCCUCUCCGCCGUCAUUCCAUCCGGGUGUCUCACAUCCGGAAUUCUUUCCCCGAUGACAUUCCACCCGGACAUCUCACAUCCGGAAUCCUCCCUCCGCCAACAUUCCACCCAGACAUAUCACAUCCGGAAUCCUUCCCGGCCAACGUUCUACCUUAUCUGGAUGUCUCACAUCCGGAUCUGAAGGUCAAUUUCUUUCCACCUCGUGACCUUAAGCAUGUCCACCUGUGCAUGGCCGCCUUCCCCAAGUCCAACUAUGUAAAUGUUUUCUCUAAUUCAGGUUGUUUCAAAAUAAUUUCAAAUCAUCAAAAUUUUCUAUCCUUCAUCCUUAGCAUUUUUCUUCAGGUUUCAAAGGUCCACUUUUCAGUAUAACUUUGCCACCAUUUCUUCUUUCCGGUAGGCAAUCUUCACAAUCCCAUGAUUUUAAAAUGUUUUAAAGUAAGCAAAGAAUCAAAUUCUGUAACUCCGAACAAUGGAAUUUACGGAUUUGGUCCAUGCAAAAAUGAACUGGGCUUUGGUGGGGGCCCUACAUAUGUGACUUCACGACUAAUUGAUUGUUUGACUGAUUCAUUUACCAUGUAUGAUUGAUUUAUUCUGUUCCUUGAUAUGCGCGUAAUUAUAUAUAUUCAUUGUUCACUAACCUUGCUUCUUUAUAGCGCUUUAUUGGAUCGCUGCCCAGGUACGCAUCCAUAUCCACUUUGGUAAUUUUAUAUGCAUGUUUUGAUUUUCAUAUGUGCAUGAUAGUUCCGGGUAUUCAUUGAUUUCCUCAUCAAUUGCCAUGUCAGCUUCAUUUUAUUAGUAGAGACCCGUUUUUAGGGACUUAGAGGGGUGCUACGGUCUUUACCGUACCUUCCCGAUAAGUAACUUGACCCCCGAACCCGAUCUGAUUUUUCGUAGACCAACCUUUUUCAAAACAAGGAGUCACACUUAGAGUUUUUAUUUCUUAUUUUGUUUACCCUUUAAAAAUAAAACAAAAAUAAGUGGUUACUCCAAGUCAUUUUUUUUAACCAAUUAAAUCAUUGUUCAAAAUAAAAAUCGAGCUCACCAUUCGAGUGGGAAACGCAUUGAGCCGAAAUACGGGGUCCACACACUUAUUUUUGUUUCAUUUGUAAAAAAAAAAAAAAAAAAAAGAAAGUAUUAAGUGUGACUCUUAAAAACAAAAUAUAGGUUUAUGAAAAAUCAAGUUUCGAUUCGAACAUCAAGUUAUCUAUCAAAAGAGUACUAUGAUAACCAAAUAUUUUGCUAAAAAAAGAAUUAGGUCGUGUAACACUCCUCUAAACACUAAAAAUAGACUUUUACUAAUCAAGUUAAGGUAAAAAUAACGAUUAACUAAUUAAUCAAUAUACACCAAGAAUUGAAAGUCAAAGAAUAAAAACAAACCAUACAUGAAAAUAAAAAAAUAAGUAGGUAAACAAGAUAAGAUUGGGAAAGUACCUUAGCAUGAACGACCAAGCAUUUCAUAGGAAAUAUGGUGAGUGCAUAGUAACAAACACAAAAUAAUCUUAUGUAUCACAAUAGUAAGACGUGAGCGAUUAUCAUCCAAUAAAUAUAAAGCAUUUAGAAUCAAAAAUAAAAAUGGAGAAUAUCUCAUAUAUUAGUCCCACCGAUAUCCAAUUUACUUGGCAUGAAUUUAUUCUAUAAACUUCAUUUUCCUAAUAAACAUGAAGAAAGAAUCAGGGAAAUAUGAGGAAAUUUCAUUAUUUUUUUGAAAUAUAUAAUUUUUUUCAUGUUAUUAAAAAAUCAAGAGAAUCAAGAUAUUAUUGAAAAUAAGAGAAAAUAAUAUUUAGAAUGCAUGCCCAAAAAAAGUGGCAAAUUUUAUUGCCUAAAGAUAUCUAGGAUAAAAUUUAAAAGUGGUGACUAUUUCAGUUGAAAAUAGAUUUGAAAAUUUAAUUUAAAAACUGUAAACUCUCACAAAACGGAGGAGUGUCACCGGAAGAGAAGAGUGGAAGCGCUGAAGGUGGCCAAGCAAGCCGGGCAGAAGUGGGCCCCAGGGUGCAAGGUAUCGGUGAUUGUAGCCUCAGGGAAAAGUGGGACGACAAUUUUAAAAAAUAAUUUCUAAAUUACCGUAAAAAAAUAAUUUAUAAGUGAAAAAUCGUCUCUUUAAGAGACGAUUUUAAAAAAAUAAAAAUAUAAAAUAAAUCAAAAUGAGAAAUCAUCUUUUAAAAAAAUAAUUUCAAUAUAUAAAUAUAUAUAUAUAUAUAUAUGAAAAAUUCUCACUUAAAAGAAAAGAAAAAAAGAAUAAAGUGGGAAAUCCUCUCUUCAAAAUAUGAUUUCCAUACUUUUAAAAGUGAGAACAUCUUCAUGUUUAAAUAUAAUAAGUUUAAAUAUAAAUAAUUUAUUAUUUAAGUAUAUUUUUUCAAUUUCAAUCAUAAAUUGAAAUUUAAUAGUUUUUAAUUAAAUUUAAAAAUAAAAAAAAAUUAUAAUUGAAAUCUUAGUUAUUAAUUGCCGCUAAAAAAUAUACUAUUAUUUCAUUAAAGAUAAAUUUAUUAUAAUACAAAUAAAUUAAUAUCUUAAAAAAUAACAAAUUAAAUAUCUUAAAUUAAUAAAUUAUAUAAUUUUAUAUAUUAUUUAUAUAUUAUAUAAGUUUAUUAUUUUAAUAUUUUUAAUUUAUUAAUAAAUAAAAUAUUCAUUUAUAAUAUUUUUUAUUUAUCAAUUUAUGUUUGUUGAAGUAAUACUAGAUUUUUAAAUUUAAAUAUAAAUAAUUUAUUAUUUAAGUAUAUUUUUAAAUUUUAAUCAUAAAUUUUAAUUUAAUAAUUUUUAAUUAAAUUUUAAAUUAAAAAAAAUAAUUAACUAAAAUCUCAAUUGGCAACUGUAACUUUAAUUUAAAAUGAAAUCGUAGUUGAUAACUACGGCUUUAGUUCAAAAAAUGAAGACGCAGUUGAUAACUACGGUUUUAACUAAAAUAAUAAAAAAAAAUAUUUUUUUAAUAAUAUAAUAUUUACGUGCCACUAAAAAACAAUUUAAGUAUUAGUUAGAUGUUAUAAUUUUUUUUUUUAAAGGGUCAUUUUGACCCAAAACUCUAUUUUUAAAAUCUGGUUUUCAAAACAAUCAUGGAGGAUGAUGAGUUGUUCUCCAAAGACGUUCAAAUAAAUGUAUUUAUAAUUUAGAAAAUGGUAAAAAAAAAAAAACAAAAUGCAAGAAAAAUAAUAAAGAAAAGAAAAGUUUGACGAUGAUAAAAAGUCACCCCUAGGCUCUUAAUGUCAUUAGCUGUAAACAUAGAGUUUUUGAUUUUUCACAGCGAAAGACAGAUCCGCACUCAACCAGAUUAAUUUCAAACGCGCUAUUGAGUAUUGAGCUGGCAUUUGCUUGCUUUUCGCCUUUUCCCUUCCUUCUCGGCACUUUCAUUCAUACCCUCUCCCUCGCUCCUCUCACGCUGUUGGUCACACUCUCCCCACUGCCUAUUUUACUAUAUAUAUGAAACCCCCAAUUCAUCUUCUCCUCACUCCAAACCCCCACCAAAGCCAUCUCUACAGCUUAGCUUCACUGCACUCUCUUAAGUCCUAACUACCAUGGCCUCUUUCGUUCCUACUCAAUGCCUUUUACAACUCCUCUUUGUGGCUUCUCUGCUUCCAUUCAUCUCAGCAGCCAGGAGACUUGCUCAAGACCAGCAACCUCUGCUUCUUCAAUACCACAAUGGCCCUCUUCUUUCCGGAAAAAUCUCCAUUAAUCUCAUCUGGUACGGAAAGUUCAAGCCUUCCCAACGCGCCAUUGUUUCUGAUUUCAUUACCUCCCUCUCUUCCUCCAAAACCACCCCCCACCAACCCUCUGUUGCGGCGUGGUGGAAUACCAUCGACAAAUACUACCUCCUCAUUAAGUCCAAGAAAUCCACCUCCCUCGGUCUCUCCCUAGGCACCCAAAUCCUCGACGAGAACUACUCUUUGGGUAAAUCACUGACCAGUCGAAAUCUCAAACAGUUGGCAGCAAAGGGGCAGCAGAGCAACGCCAUUAACGUAGUCUUGACAUCUUCUGAUGUAGCCGUUGAAGGGUUCUGCUCCAGCAGGUGCGGAACACAUGGGUCUUCUCCCAGCUCCAAGACUGCUAAGGUUAAUGGCAAGAUCUCCAAGUUCGCAUACAUCUGGGUGGGUAACUCCGAGACUCAGUGCACAGGUCAAUGUGCAUGGCCAUUCCACCAGCCCAUUUACGGACCCCAGAGUCCACCCCUGUCCGCACCCAACAACGAUGUGGGUAUGGAAGGUAUAGUUAUGAACCUGGCUAGCCUCUUGGCUGGAACUGUUACGAACCCCUUUGGAAAUGGAUACUACCAAGGUUCCGCAGAGGCUCCCCUGGAGGCUGCAUCGGCCUGCCCUGGGAUUUAUGGGAAGGGCGCGUACCCUGGCUAUGCCGGAAAGCUGUUGGAGGAUCCCACCACAGGUGCUAGCUAUAAUGCCAAUGGUGUGAAUGGGAGGAAGUACCUGCUUCCUGCAUUGCUUGAUCCUUCAACUUCCACCUGUUCUACUCUGGUCUGAUAGACUGAUACUACUAUGCUUCUCUAAAUUCAUUUAGUUGUAUAGCACGGAGACGAUAACCGAUUCUUUGUUUGUAUUUGAUUAAUUACCAUUAUGUAUUCUUUUUCCCGUCUGAAUAAAUGAAAUUCCAAUGUUUUCUUUCAUAUCCAACCAGUUCAGCCUUCCUCUGAUAUUUUUUCUUCACAUCCCAAUCCCAACAAAAGCCGCACUGCGCCCUCCUCUGCUAUUCAAACUCGUAUGUGGUCAAAAUCAUUAAUGAGAUCUACCAUUGGAGAAAGCUUUAUUAUAAUAAGGAAAAUUUUAAGCAAAACCUUUAGGACAUGGAAUGAUCUGCUGCUUUUCUCGUCCUACAUUUUUAAUUUAAGACUUAAAUUUCCAACCUCGUCUACAUGCCAUCAUUAUUUAUUCAGAAGUUGCAAUUGAAGAAACGUUUAUAGCACGUUUUGCAGGAAUAUUAUUAAUAAUUUAAGUAUGUAACAUUCUCAAAAGGCAGUCUAAGAAGAUGUAUACUUCCAACCUUGGAUUUUGUCACAAUUAUUCAUGGCCCAGCCUCCACGUGAAAUUCUAAUAGAUGUUCAAUAAUUCAAACGGAAAUGUGCAAUAGAAUAUGUCAACCCUUCAAUGUGAGGAAGGUUUGGCUAAAAUUUUAGCUUAAAUUAAGAUUUUAGAGAAUAUAACAUCAUAAUUUUUUUUCAUGUUUGUCGUAAGGAAGAAAUAAAAAGGGCCUUAUCACGUUGGUGAUAUAAAUUUUCUAAUUUAUUUCAAUGAUUUCUUUUUUCUCAUGAAAAAAAAAAUAAAAAUCCUCAUAAUGAAUGCAAGUUGGUUUUCGAGAUAAAAAUAUGUUGGCUAGAUGUGUAAUAUAUGAAAAAUUAGAAAAUAAAAUAUUCAACAAAUUUUCUCCUGUUAAUUCAACAUUUCUCAAUAUUUUUAUAAAUUUAAAAUUAUUACUUUUAAAAUAUUAUUUAUAAAUUAAUUUAAAAUAUUUAGUAUUAUUAUUCUAUAACAAAAUGACCUAUUGAUUUUUCUUUAACUUUUUAAUAUCUAAUAAAAAUAAAAUAUUAAAUCAACAAACUAUUUAAUACUUAAUAUUAUUAAAUACUAUUUAAUUCUAAAUUCUAUUUAAAAUUAACUAAAAAGAAAAAGAAAAUAUCAUCUUAAUCAUGUCAUAUCAAUUCUCAAAAUUAGAGUUUGAGGGCUUAAUUUUUUUAACCUGGCAUCAUUUGGAUUGAUACAACUUUUAUAAUAAAUAAAUUUUUGCCAAAAAGAGUACAUAUAAAAAUAAUUUAAUUUCACACAUAAAGAAUAUUGUGGGGUCUAGGUCUCUUUGUAAAAAGUUACUUUAUAAAAGUAUUUUCUUAACUUAAUUUAUAGAAAAAGCUCCUAAAUCAUGAAUCUCUCAUUUUUCAUAUGUUUAAUAAAAAAUUUUUAUAAAAUUUCUUGAAUUGUUUGAAACAUAUGCUAUAUGAUUUCAAUGAUAUUUCAAGUAAAACCUUGAUCAACUAACUUUCUAGAAGACAUAAAAUUUUUAGAAAUCUAGAACUUUAGGAGUAGCAAUAACAAAGAUAUUUAAGUGGCAUACAAGUCAGAUUGUUUUUGAGGAGUUUCAAACUUCAAAUCAUAACCGGUCCAAAUGUUAUACAUUUGAGCAGGAAACAGAAAGACUGUCACUAAUUUGGGGUGUUAGUUUAGCCAAAUUAAGCUAGGGCCAUAAGAUGUUUGGGACCACCUCGAUUUUAAGUCAUUUUGCCAACAACUAUUAAGGCAUUAACAACUAACUAGGCAGGCCGGACCCUUAUCCAUUUCUAUAAAAGACAUCAUCUGUAUGGCUACCGACCUAAAUUGAUUGCAUGCCAAAUGAACAAAUUUCAUACCCAAUAAUCACAUGUAACUUCUAAUUAGCUGAGUGUAAUUGUUUUGUCAUUAAAAUUGCUGUCCCGGUCCCAUCACAUGGUGCGAAUACAUCGUGAUUUGUUAACUUAAUUGGAAAUAUUACAAUCCAAACAACUAAGAUUGUGGGUAUUAAUGGAAAAUCCAAUAUUGCAAUGUUGAUGGUUGCAACUUGCAGCUUGGAUCUUAUACUUAUAGUCUCACACUCGUUUCACACGUAGUCGAUAUGAUCAUGAAUAACGGGGUCCAUCCCCGAGGGCCCCGUGAUAACAACAGAGCACUGAGCACCUAAAAAUUAAAAAUGGUGUGCAUGUAGCCGCCGCAAGGAAAACCAUGCCAGUGUUUGGAAUAAUUUUGGCUUUUGUGUCUUUCAAGCUAGCCGCUUCUCCAGAGAGAUGAAAGCACGGUAUCGAUCGAAUCAAGUGGAUCAGGGCCCGGAGUUUUAAAUGGCGGGUCGGCGCACACUGAUGUUUUGAGCCAUCUAAAACCAUGAGCAUAUUGAUUCCUUGAGUUAUUUAGAAAAUGGGGAUGUGCUUUCAGCGUAUACAAACUCACCUGUGACUAUCUUACUCUAAAGCAAAUAAUCACGGACGAGUGCUAACCCUAGGAUCGUUAUCUUCACAUGCAAGGAUUACCUACUUGUUAUUCCCCCUGUCCCUUGACUUUGGGUUUUAUAUUUUUGGACGAUCAGAAAGAAGGAAACACCUACCCUUGAUAACCACGUCAUCAGGCACAACCUGGCGAAAACUGCCACGCGUUUGACACUAAAAGUGGUCAAUUAAUCAACGCGGCACGAUUUCAAUGUUUCUUCCAUCACUCCCUUUUGGCCAGCGCCACACGCGCACUCCAUGAUGACACCACCUUUCUAUGACUAUAUAAGUAUCGCAACAGUCGACUCUUCCUUCACACUCAUUCCUCACCAAUCCAGCUUUUCACACUCUCUGCAUCACCUUCACCCCACUACUUUACCUUCUCAAUGACUUCUACUUACCAUUUCUCCAUCUUUGUUUCACUUCUCCUACUCUCCUGCCUUCCCAACCUCACCUCCGCCACACCUCGAAAACUCUUCUCUCUUGUUCAAGAGCAACCUCUCAUUCUCAAGUACCACAACGGGCCACUCCUUAAGGGCAACAUCACCCUCAAUCUCGUUUGGUACGGAAACUUCUCCCCCAUCCAACGCUCCAUACUCGUCGACUUCCUCCAGUCUCUCAAUUCCCACACCACCACGCCCCACUCCGUCUCAUCGUGGUGGCAGACCAUCCAGAAGUACAAAGGAGUCUCCUGCACCCUCGCCGUUGGGAAUCAGAUCCUCGAUGAAGACUACUCUCUAGGGAAGUCAUUGCGAAGUUCAGACAUCAUUUCCUUGGCUUCUAGAUCAAACCAAAGGAGCGAAAUAACCGUGGUGUUCACAUCGGCAGACGUGGCGGUAGAAGGGUUCUUCAUGAGCCGGUGCGGGACUCACGGGUCAACUCAGAGUAAGUGGGCCUACGCGUGGGUGGGUAACUCGGAGACUCAGUGUCCGGGUCAGUGCGCAUGGCCAUUGCACCAGCCCAUGUAUGGACCACAGACUCCGCCGCUGGUGUCUCCAAACGGGGACGUGGGAAUUGACGGAAUGGUGAUCAAUUUAGCGACUGUUUUGGCGGGAACGGUGACUAAUCCGUUUGAUAACGGCUACUUUCAAGGAUCGGCUAGCGCGCCGUUAGAGGCGGUGACGGCUUGUACAGGUAUAUUCGGGACAGGAGCUUAUCCAGGAUAUCCCGGCGAAGUUCUGGCGGAUGGAACGACUGGGGCUAGCUAUAAUGCUGUUGGGGUGGAUGGGCGUAAAUACUUAUUGCCGGCGAUGUGGGACCCUCAAACCUCCACCUGCAAGACAUUAGUCUGAAGCCUGAACCUAAUGGAUGAUUUGUGUUCUGUGUGGUACCAGCAAUUGUUUGUUUGGAGGAGCUUUGUACUCCCAGCUUUGAAGUUUGUUCUUUUUUUUCAUCAACCUUAUCAUAUGUAAAUGUUUAUGUAUCAUUAAUUAAAUUUGUUUCAUUAGUCAACCAAUCCUCUGUCUCCUUUGCCUUCUAAAAAGUUUCAAAUUUUUUCUAACAAUUUUGGGUCAUUAGGUUUUGGUGGAAGUUUCAAGUUGACUAACCAGUUAGCUUCUGGAUUUAACUUAACCCCAUAUUAAGCUGAGGAACCAAUCUGGUUUUAGCACAUGUGCAUUGAUUGGUAUUCUUUAUAAUGGAAUCUAACUGCUUUCUUUUUUACCCCAUGAGAAGAUUUCACCAUAUUGUCCUCCAUUCUUGCACACAACCGUAUCAUCUGACUGAAUUUUCUAUGAAAUAAUAAUUAUUUUGGUUUUUUUUUUUUUCAUUUUUCUUUUUUCUAACACAUAUAAAGUAAAAAAAGAAAAAAUUAUUAUUAAAAUAAAUUACAAAAUUUAUUUACAAUAGAAUUAAAUUAAAAAAAUUAAAGAGAUAGGACGAAACCGGAAAUUCUCAUAUUUGUUUCAUUCGAAUCUUUUUAGGGUAGAGGAAAAUAUGUUUAAACGAUGGAAUGGGAUUGGGAUAGAGUAACAAUUCGAAUCCACCUCGCUAUCAUUCCUGGAUGUUUGAGCAAUGGGUCUGGUCGAGCAGCCCGACCUGUGGACACUGGGAUCCUGGAGCACAGCGCUGUCCUUCUAGUUAAUAAGUUGGAAUCAUGGUUCGACUUGGUUUCUGUUCACGUCGUAGCCAUUUGCGAUUUGCUCAGUAACACUGGUGACUUAAUCAUGGGCCGUGGGCUGCUUUCAAGACUUGGGCUUUUCAAUUGGAUUCGGCCCAAUUGGGUUUGGACUCAGGUGAUGAAUGAGCCGGCCCAAUCUGGAAAAUGUUGCAUUUAAAGUUUGGACCAUAUUAUCUGUUGGAAGGAAGUUCUGAUUUCUUAAAAUUUUUAUGUUUUUGAAGGUUUAAGGAGUGAGGACUUGAGUGUGGAUUCAUCCCAGAGCAUAGUUUGAUGGAAUGGCUGUGUACAUUCGCCUGAUUCUUUGUAAUAUUAUGUAAAAAAAAAAAUUGAGAUUAAAGAAAAAGUGAAAAACACAUAUGACCAAGCUGAGGCGCUGAAAAGAAAAAAGAAACAAGGCUUUUUAAGGCAGAAGACGGUGAUCUCCUCUCAGUUUCCAGUUUCCGCCAUCCACAGCCAAAUCUCAUGGAUCCCCAUCAACACCAACCCAUUGGACAAGCAGACGAAACCUCACCCCCUCCCUCCAACACCGCUACCACUUCAUGCCGCUGCUGCGGCGGCCCCACCACAUGCCCACCUCCACCGGCAUGGUCCGACAUCUCUCCGCCACCCCCCUACCGCCCCAUCCGCGCCCCCGCCAUCAACCUUCCUCCUUCCAACUCUCAACAAGCUAUCAUCCUAGCCCCCGUUCCUCAAGCCCAGAAGACCCCCGUUGUCUCUCCGCCCUAUCUUUUCCAAAUCCCCGUCAAGCGAAUCCAGACCAGACGACAUUCGCCAUUUCCAUGACUCCGAUUCCGGGAAGAACUUCUUAGGUUUCGUCGUUUCCCUUAGCGAAUCCAUUCGCUCCCACAAAAUUUCCGACCCUUGCCACCAAUCACCAAUCCUCAAUUCUAUUCUCUCCAUCCUUCAAUCUCUAAUCGACUGGGUCGACGAAAUACCUCCCGUUCAACAAUCUUCCCGUUACGGUAAUCUCUCUUUUAGGGUUUGGCAAAGUCGGUUGUUCGAUAAUAGCGAGCAACUGAUGCUCCAAUUCCUCCCCGAUGAUCUCCGGUCGGCUACCGUCGAACUCGUCCCUUACUUUGCCGAUAGUUUUGGGAAUUCGAGUCGAAUCGAUUAUGGAACCGGUCAUGAGACCAAUUUUGCUGCGUGGCUUUAUUGUUUGGCUAGAUUAGGGUUGCUCAAGGAAGAGGAUUACCAGGCUCUUGUUUCUAGGGUUUUUGUGAAGUACCUUGAAUUGAUGAGGAAAUUGCAAUUCGUCUAUUGCCUUGAACCUGCGGGAUCCCAUGGAGUUUGGGGUCUGGACGACUAUCAUUUUCUGCCAUUUAUAUUUGGGUCGUCGCAGCUGAUCGAUCACAAGUAUAUGAAACCCAAGUCAAUUCAUAAUCAGGAUAUUCUGGACAACUUCUCCAAGGAGUAUAUGUAUAUUUCUUGCAUUGCAUUUGUGAAGCAGGUGAAGAAAGGCCUAUUUGCAGGGCAUUCCCCAUUGUUAGAUGAUAUUAGUGGUGUAGCUAAUUGGAACAAGGUGAAUAGUGGGAUGCUCAAAAUGUAUAAAGCUGAGGUGUUGGAGAAGGUUCCAAUUAUGCAGCAUUUCCUAUUUGGGUGGCUCAUCAAAUGGUAUGAUCACUGUUAAUGAGUAAUUAGCCCUGUAUGUGAUUCAUGCAUUUUUAGUUCAUUAUAAGUCAUCCACACUUUGCAUCAUGUUUAAUUGGGAAUCUUAAAAUUAUUACGAGUUUUUAUGGUGUUUUAUGAGCAUAAUCGUUAUAUUUAUAUCGUCUAUAUCAGUAACCUAUAUGGAUAUUUGGUGCUAAACCUGAUAUUUUUGGUCCCUGGAUAUUCAUCUAUUAUUUCAAUGACAAUGUUGGUUGAGGAACAACUCUAGUGUUGAUACCUUGAUCCAUGGGUUUUGUCAGGCUGAGACUUUCAUUAGCUAUUUGAUCCUCACCACCACUGAUUGCUAUACUGAAAUUUUUUUACCUAUGAUUUCUGUUAUCAUUUUAUUUAAAGCAUAGAACCCUACUUGUUAGCUAUAUGAUGUAGAAGUGAUGCACUGAGUCAAUGUUCAUGAUGAAAUAGAACCAAAGAGAUUGGCAUUAUGUUGGGUUGGUCCAUUUUUUUGGAUUCAUUAAAUCUAUCAAAAAUAAAUAAAAUUUGGAUUCAUUAACCAAGUUACUACAUAUGUUCCUUUGAUAUUUAUUAUUUGAGUAAUGUGUGUACAAACUACAAUAAAUAUCAGCCUUUUCAUAAAAAUUUUGCUUGAGUUUUCCUUAUCUCUGCACUUUUAACAUGUGUUAAUCUUUCAACGGUCUGCUUUAGUCCUCAUUCUAAGCUUGUUAAUGUGCCUUUACUUCAAACAUCUUUUCCCACCUUCUGAGUCAUUUCUUUUAAGUCAUGUAUCUCAUCUUAUAGAAAUUCAAGUGUAAUCUAAUGUCUUGAGCCAUUUUAAUUAUUUUAGUUUGAUUUGAUUUAAAAAAAAACUUUAAUGAUCAAAACUUUCAAAUUAUAAUGCAUUUGGCUAGUGAAUAUUACUUAUAAGCCCAAUGUCUCUAGACAAAUAUUUCUGGGUUUUUAAUACAUCUCAUGAGUUCCAUUUGGUAUUCUAGCCCUUUUAGCUAAGUGGUUGCAUUUCUACAUGGGAGGUCUGAGAAUCUCAGAAAGCUAAAACUAAAACAAAGUGAUUUAGUUAGUUAGUGCUUAUAUUCUGACUACUGGUUGUGUAAUAAGCUAAAACUAAAACAAACUCUGAUUUUGUGCCUGACAGCUUGUGCAGACGCUGGUAUAGUGUUUCCUCCAUUUCCAUCAACAACAAAGUCACCAUACCAUACCGGGCUUAAGGGAGGAAACAACCAUGGAAAACUGCUCUGAAGCCCUAAGAGUUUCAAUAAACUUCUGAACAGCCCGUGAUGCAUGAAUUCUUAACCAAGUCUCCAGCUAACACUGCUUGGAGACUCUAAUACCCAAAGUUGACAGAGAUAAGGGCUAAGAUUGUUUUACAGACAGUGAUAUAACAUGCUCAAGGUGAAUGUAAGAUGAGAUAUUCCUGGAUUUAUUAGGAUUGCCAGAAAGUCGAGGAGACUGAACAUUGAAGUAUGAACUCUAUGUGGAGAUGGUGCAAUUCCAGGGGGUUGUGCCCAGAGAUUCAAUGUGUCUAGGCUUCUUUCCCGGUAUACGGAUCAGCAUGUCAUUGCAACAAGCACAGAUUCCAGAAGACCACUGAGAUGGACUAUCACUGGUGUGACGAUGAACAGAGAGGUCACUGUAAUGAGGAAUAAUCUCUAUAUCCUAAUCUGACUGUCCUAAAGGAAUAUAGGGGGUGGUACAUAACUGAUGAUGCAUCUGAUCGGUCAUUACUGGGCUGUGGCACAUGAUGCCAUUCUGAAGCAGGUGGCAUGCUCUUGUUAUCAUUCGACUGAGGAAAGACUGAUGGCACAGAUUGUCCUUUGGCAACCCUCAAUAGAAGCAUAAGUGCGUUUUCGAGGCUCUCCAACAAGUUCAUCAACAUGAGCAGGAGGGAGGUCUUUUAAAGUGUUUUGGUUGUUUUUCCCAUCAAUAGGAGUGGUUCUAUACAGGGGUGAGGGGAGCAAUGACCCAUCUAAAGGUACGUACCUAAAUGACUUUUUUCUAAGAGGAACCCAAAGCCCCCAUUGGUUGGACUAGUUGUCUUGGGUUGUAUUUAACUAUGAUACUCCUUUGGUUAUUUCCUUCUUUGAUAGACAAGGAUAGCACAAAAUUCGUGAUAAUCAAAUAUGAAAUUGUCUAAUGCGUGAUAAAGUUUAAUUCAAGACCUUGCAAAAUUCAAAUAUGCACUUUCCAUCCACAAGAUUUAGCAAACUGAUGGGGCCUCUACCUUCUCUGUACCCUCCAACCGUACUCUGGCGUUUUGUGCUAUGGCACUAUAGACCUUCCAGGCUUUUAGUGCUUCAGGGAAUCCCAUUAUUCAUCUUCUAACCAUAUUUAAGAAAAUAUUUUGUUUUUUGUUGUGCUUUUUUAAGUGGUAUUUGCUAUCAACUUAGUGAUACGAGUCUUUCUUAUCUUGAGAUGUUUCCUUUCAAGGCAAAAAACCUAAAACAAAAGUUUGAAGAGCAACCCUUUUACAUAUUUUUUGGACAGAACGAAGAGAAGGAAAACAAAGGUCUUUUGAUAACGUAGAGUAAAUGUAUCUUUCUUUAACAAAUUCUCUUAUUUGUAAUUCUUUCUCAAGAAAGAUUUUUUCAGGUGAUAUUUGUUUUUUUAACUUUUUACUGAAAAUAAUUUAUUUUUAAAAUUUAGGUUGUUUGUUUUUCUAUUUUUUCAUGACUUAUUAUAAAUUUUUUACUAAUUAGAAAAAACUAAAAUAUAUAACUUUUUUUGAAUAAAAAAAAAUAAUAUAUUGAGUUUUUUUACUUUUUAAUAUUUAAUAGAAAUAAAAUACUAUAAAAAUAAAUAACCUAAUAUUUAACAUUAUAAACAUUAUAGUUUUAUUUAGAAUUAAGUAAAAAAACAAACAUCACCUUAGUAUCUUUGCUAAGUGAGGAAAAUUGUUUUUUUAGUCCUCUCCCUAUACAAUGGUUUACCUCGGUGCAUUUUUAUUUUUUAUUUUUUUAUAAAAUUCUUUUCAUUUGCCUACAUUAAUUUGGAUCUACUCAACUAUAUUUACAUGUCCUUCUGAUGUUUUUCUAAAUGCUUUUGCAGGAAGUGUAUAUAUCACCAAAAGUUAGGGAGAGAAAACGACGAACUGCGGUGGUGCGACGGGUUAAAUGAGAUUGCAUUUAGGCUGGCGUUCUGCAGCUUAACCCAACUGAAACUUGAUCGCAUAGUGACUAUCAUCAUUAUUGAUCACCGAAAACUUCGGUAUGUAUAGGCCUAUUGACACUGACGCUGAUACAAUAGUCAUAAAUAUUAUUUAUUGUUAUAUGUCUUCGCACACAGAGGACAUAUUUUCUGAUCAACAAGUGGCAAUGGCAUCUAGUUAACAUAAUUUUUGUAACAUAUAUCACAAAUGUGAUUCAUCACUCUUCCCCUUUGGAGAAGUAGUUGUGUGAUAGUGCAGCACCCCAUAAAGAGAACGCAAUGCUAGAGAAAAAAUUGGUACCUGUUUUUAUGAGACAAUGGGGCGGCGAACAUAUAUAAAAAAGAUAUGAACCCAUAGAGAUAUUGAAAAAAAUAAAAACGAUAAAGAUAACGUGGUAUAAUUAGUGUCCAUAUAUUUGGCACAUUUUUAAUGAUUUUAUACUUUUCGAGAUCGCCACAUAAAUAAAAAUAUCUUUUAGUCAAAUGAUCAUUUUUACAUUUUCAUGAUAUUGUUAUUAUUUUAUGAUAUGUCUUCUAAAAGCAUUUUUAAUGAGAAUUUUAAAUAUUUUUACAACAUAUUUAACAUUCUUAAUCUAUCAUUAUUAUUCUAUAAAAAUAUGAAAUUUUAUUUCAUAAUUGAAGUAAGAAAACAAAAACAUGUGUCUUAAGGAAAGUAAAAGAAAAAAAUAAGUAAAAGUAAAAAGUAAAUUUAAAAUUAAUAAACUAUUUCUAUAUAUUUAUUUAUUUAUAAUUAAAUCAUUUAAAUAUAUAUAAAGUUGUCAAAUUAAUUUAAAUUAUGUGUAAUCUUAUUUCCAAAAUUCUACCAUAAACCAAACCCCUGAACAUCUUUUUUUUUCCUUUAUUUAAUAUUAUUGUCUGAAACAAUAUUAAAGAAACAAACCACAACAUGAACCAUAGUAAGAAAUAUGGAAACAAGGCAGGAAAGGUGCAAAAAACUAGAUUGGAAAGUUGAGAUCUAGAGAAGCACUUGUUCAAAUAUUUUCUCCAAAUUCAAGUAAGAUGAUCCAUCUGGACCAGUGGUAGCCACUUCUGCCCUAUGCUUCCACUCCAUGGUUUUCUUUUUCAUUACUUUGCCUUUCUCUCCCACCAUCAACUCUCUCACAAGCUUUGCAACUUCAUCCCUCUUAACAUCACUGUCUAUCUCCAUUCCUACGCCCCACUCAGUGCAGCAGUAACGACAGUUGGUUUGCUGCUCUGCAAAAAAUGGCCAACAAAUCAUAGGCACUCCAGCGCAUAAACCCUCAAUUGUGGAAUUCCAGCCGUUAUGAGUUAAGAAGCCGCCAAUGGCCUGGUGCGUGAGAACUUGCUCUUGAGGACACCAACCUGCUAGUAAACCCCUGUCUUCUGUUUCUGCCACGAAUUCUGGUGGCAGAAUGGCCGACUCACCAGACACGAGAUCUGGCCUAAGAAUCCACAAGAAGCUUUGAUUGCUAUUUGCAAGUCCCCAAGCAAACUCAAUCAGUUGCUGGGGAGUCAUGACUGUGAUGCUUCCAUAAUUAACGUAAACAACAGAGUUGGGUUCUUUGGAAUCCAGCCAUUUGAGACACUCAGGCUCUUCCUUCCACAGAUUUGAUCCAAUCAACUUUAGUUCGCUAUCGUGAAUCUGAUCCGGAAGUAGCUGAAGAGGACCAAUGGUGUAGAUUGGGGGAUACAUGGGAGCAAUUGCAUCCAAAACCUCCUGCUCUAAAGCGUCAAACGUAUUGAAAAUGAUGGCAGAAGCCUUGCGAGCCCUUUCAAGCUCACCCAUGGCAAAGUCCAGCAUGAUAUCAUCUGGAUCGGUAGUCCGAAUGAAGCUCGGGAGAUCCUUCAAACGGAUACCUUUCAUGCCCGGUAUCCAAUCAACAACAGUAUCCAAAUACCCAUUUGUUAGAUAACUCUCAUCUGCAUAUCACAGAAGAAGGAAAAAUGAAAAAUCAGAGUCGGUAGGAGACUGGGAUUUGAAAAACUUGUAUUCAAAGCCGAACUUGGAAUAAUACCUUUGAGUGGUGUAAAACCCUUGUCGAUGAGACUGCGAUACUGCACAUAGGCCAUGAAGCCACAAGCACUAGCUGUCCAUAAAAGAAGGUCGGGAAUGCCGAGUUCUUGAGCCGCGUCUAAAGUGAAGCUCAUGACAGCGUCAGAAAAUAUGCAAGUGACGGGAGGACCUCUGUCGUUGAGUUUGGCGAGAAGGCGUCUAAAGGGAGCCAAACAGUUUUUUUUGGUGGAUGCACAGAGGGAAGGGAUGUCUUGGGUUGCGUCGACAUUGGACGGUGGGAGACCAUCGGGAAUGGUUUCGAACUGAAAGGUGGGGAGACCAUUGAGGGAGUUGGGGCCCUGGGCCUUGAGUAAGCGUGUGUGGUUGAACUCUGUGUUGACAAAGGUGAUACGAAAGCCUCUGAAAUGGAGGAGCUUUGCUACUUUUAGCAUAGGAUUGAUGUGCCCCUGAGCAGGGUAUGGAAUGCAAACUGCAUGAGGCUUCUCCAUGGAACCCAUUUUUGCUUUGGGAUGCCCUCCCGAUACAUCUGCCUCCAAUUUUAUAGAGUUUUUGAAUAUGGCAUCUAAGCUGUUUUUUUUUUUUUUUUUUCAAAAAAAAAAAAUCAUUGAUAAUACUGAUUUAAUCUAUGAAAUAAAACCGUCUCUGUCUAUAUUGGUUUUUAUUUGAAGUUGAAUAAAGAACCUCCGUCAUCGGUUUUGGUUCAAGUGUUUUUUAAAAAUCAACUUAAAAUCGCAUGUGCCAAAUCGAUUUAACUUUUUUCGAAAAGUCAAUUUCCGAGGCCACAGAAAGGCGGAAAGCAAGGGAGGUUGGUGGAACACCCUUUCCCUUUUUAAAACGGUACCGAACUCACUAAUUUAAUUGCACGAUCGAAGCUGGAAAUAUUUUGUUAUAAUUAAUCAAUCCUGUGCUGCAGCAACGUCUUCCACCUACACUUUUUAUCUUCAAAUCACAGUCGACUGGAAGGAUUAAGUCAUGCGGGAUCCCUUGUUAUUCAUGUAAAAGAAAAAGCCCGCGUUGGAGCCAGGGACUUCCUGUUUGUUUUUCCUGUCACGAUUGAGUGACCGCUAUCCAUGAAAAGUACGAGAAAGAACGUGACAAACUAGGAUCUUGUCAUGAGCCUCUAUCAUCUUCCGUUGAGAAUAAUGAAUUUACCACCUAUAUAUGUUAAAGCUGAUGCUCUGUUUAAAAAUUUUGGACGGCCGCUGCCCUUCCUAGCAUCAAUAUAUUGCACUGCCACGAAUCCAAAGCAAAUCUUUCUCGUUUGCAUCAGACUUUGUUUAAAAAAUGGAACUCAUAGAACUCCGCAGCUGCCCAACUAAUUAAAUCAGAGGACUAAGUUAUCGUCCAUGAAUUUAUUACUGAUAUGAACGUUAUAUAAUAUAAAGAUAAGAGAAGUGAGAGGGUAAGUUGACCAUGCACUCUCAUCUAGAUAUUAUAAUCUUCAACCAGCUCAUCCCUAAUAGGCCUCCCCUGAUAUUGGCUUCUGACUUCUGUGACUGUCUUGCAUAAUGCAUGAUGUCAAGCGAAGAAAGUGUUGGUAAUUUUUUUACUGGAAUUCAAAGAAUUGGAGAUUCGAACAAAAGAAAUGAAUGAUGAAUGAAAACCAUGUUCACGGUAUAGGAACUGCAGCCAAGUAUUGACUAGCAGGUGGAAUGAUACCAUCAGCGCCGAUUGCCUUGAAUAGUUAGUAUGCAUCCUUACUCCUUACCCAUCAUUAUCCAUCAAUUAUCUAGUAUUUAUUAUGAGUGACCAUAUAUUCGCCCACUUGUGCAGGCCCUGCAGAAGAAUAAAUUGAUGAUAUGAACUACUUUUUUAAAAAUAUCUUCCGAGUCUGGCUUGACAUCGAAAUUGAAACAGAGUAAUAAAUUGUACAAUGCCCAAUUCUCUUGGUCUGUGUGACAGAACGGACAUCUUGCUGAUCACUCCAAAGAAAAGAAUACGCAUUGCACCAUAAAAUAAUACAGUCAAGUAUUAUUGCGUCCCUCUUACGUACAUUAGAUUGAUACACUUUUGGAUAGGUUUCUGAAUUGAGAUACUUUGGAUAGUUUGGGCGGCUGGCUGACUCUCUCGUGCUUGGCCAAAUCCUUAAAACCACCUAAUAAAAUACAAACUAAAUUAAUUCAUGAUAAAAAGAAAAAUAAUAAGAGAAAUAGAAAUAGAAGGAAGAGACAUAUUUUCUUACCUAUGUCUUUAGAUAUGAUAAUUAAUUCACUAAUCUUCAAAAUCUAAAAUUGGCUAAAACUCCAACAACUUUGUAUAAAGUCAUUUUUAUACCCUUUGACUAAAGGACUUAUAUAUUCAUAAUAUCCCGAACUUUACAAAAUCAAUUCAUAAUCCUUGUGGGACAAGGAAUCGUAAAAUAUCAUAUCUUAAUUGAGUUCAAAAUUAACAAGCCAAUGUUAUUAUAUUGAUAUGUUUUGUAGCAUUUUCUAGAUGGUUAACGAGGGAUAUGAAUUUAUUUUAGGGGUUCAAAAAUAAAACAAAAUGGGCAUGUAACAUAAUGGGAACUAUGGAUUUGAUGCAAAUGCCUUUCGAAAUAGAUCAAAUCAUCAUUCUUGCUGUAUAAGGAAAUUUAGAGAAAAAAAUAUGGGUUAAACUUCUUUUAACUUGUCUUAUUUCUCAAUUAAUUAUCACUUAUCAUUAACUACGGAUAAACAUGAAAGGAAUAAAUACCCAUGUUGUUAAAUGAAGAUUUAAUCUCUAAAUUUAGAUAGCAUAUAUUUUUAAAUUUUGAAAAAAAAAAUGUCCCAAAAAACAUGAGGGCCAAGUCUAAUUAGACUCAAAGAUGUUGACAACUUAGAAUAAUAUUUCGAAUAAGAAUUUAAUGCAUCAAUUUGCUUUAUUAUUUAUUUGUCAACAUGUAUGCAGUAAGUUAUUAUUAUGACUUAAUUAUUUUCAAUCAAAUGUUCUACUAUAUGAUUGGAUUUAAUAUUUACAUUUGAGUGGGUGUAAUCCCCAGGAUUCGAACUUGGGUCCAAGCCUUAAAGUUUAGGACGUUGCCCUCCUAGUACCAUCUGGGCUACUAGCUCAGAUGGUACCAAGAGGGCAACGUCCUAAGCCUUAAGGCUUGGACUCAAGUUCGAAUCCUAGGGAGACCACUCUGUGAUGCCCCUGACUGGCACAUAGACUUUUUUUGCUCUGGUGCCCAACCAUACCAUCGAACUGUGCCAGACGAGGGCAUCACAGGAAUGGGCCGGACAGCGUAGAGUCUUAUAGGGCCAUUUGUUUAUUUGGCCCUUGGGUGACGUCUCCAGGAUUCGAACUCGGGGCCUUAACCCAGACAGUUGCCCUCCUGGUACCAUCUAGGCUACUAAUGUUGAGGUCUUGCGUCAUGAUCCACAUAACUACCAAAUGGACGCACACUUUCAACCAAGAUAGAGUUCUGGUUCAGUUUUCCCUGCAAAAGAUGUCCGGACAGGGUGUCCAGACACACCCUCCAAUGGUUUUUUCAGUCAUGGUUAGAGAGAUUAAGCAGUUGGCCUUUUACUAGGUAUAGCAAGCUUACCUUCCUCCUUAUGUGAAGGUCCUUAUAUAUAGUAUCAGAAGUUCUGCUUCCCUCUUUAAUGGUAGGGAGACUUUUUGACUCGUCAUGAUGCCUCUAGGUGGUGGCAGGGCUAUCAUCACCCUACAGGUGGCUGUCAGAGAUCGUGGGAAGUGACUUGCCAUCAUUCAUGUCCUUUCGCUCUACAGGUGGCGGAACGUGGGUUGUGGCAGGCUGUCGGAAUGAUGUAGUAAGACUUACUUACUUUAGUCAACGAUCCGGACAACAUAUCCGGAUAGGAUAUGCUAUCGUCCGGAUGUGAUGUUUGCGAGUGCCGUGUGCUUCUCCCUGAGGAAGUCCGGAUGGAGUCACUCCGGACAGCGAGGCGCCCACGUAUCAUAAGGGGGAGGGGUCCCUACAAUGAUGAGCAGUGCAUAAAUACAUUUCCACUUUAUUCACCUUACUAAUACUACAUUUAAAUAUGGUGCACAAAAGUUCAUCAUAAAACAAGGAAAGGAACGUGCGGAUGCUAAGUUUUAACUUGUUGGAAUGCUUGGGAUUUGGAGAAACACUUGAUUUAUCAUUUUGUCCAAGUUGGAGUAAGAUGAGCCAUUUGAAUCAAUGGUGGCCUUUUGUGCCAUCUUCUUCCACUCCAUGGCCUGCUUUUUCAUCUCUUUGCCUUUGUCUCCCUCGAUCAAUUCUCUCACAAGCCUCUCAACUUCAUCUCUCUUAACGUCACUGUCGAUCUCCGUGCCUAUGCCCCAUUCUGUGCAACAGUAGCGGCAGUUGGUUUGCUGCUCUGCGAAAAAUGGCCAGCAAAUCAUGGGCACUCCUGCACUCACACUUUCCAUAGUGGAAUUCCACCCGUUGUGAGUUAAGAACCCACCAACGGCAGGGUUGCUGAGAACUUCCUCCUGAGGACACCAACUUGCUAGCAGACCCCUGUUUUUGGUCUCUGCCAAGAAUUGUGGCAGAAGAAUGGCCGACUCACCAGACACAAUAUCCGGCCUUAUUAUCCAUAAGAAUGUUUGAUUGCUAUUUGCCAGUCCCCAAGCAAACUCAUUGAGUUGAUCUGUUGUCAGGCUUGUCACGCUUCCAAAAUUCACGUAAACAACAGAGUUGUGUUUUUUGGAGUUGAGCCAUUCGAAAAAACCCCAUUCUUCUUUCCACAGAUUUGAUCCAAUCAACUGCAAAUCAUUAUCUUGGACCUGAUUCACGAGUAGACUUAAAGGACCAAUGGUGUAAAUUGGAGGAAACAUUGGUGAAAGUGCAUCCAAAACAUCCUUCUCGCAUCAAACGUAUUGAAAAUGAGGGCAGAAGCUUUGUGGGCUCUUUCAGCCUCAUGCAAUGGAAAGUCCAGCAUAAUUUCAUUUGGGUCUGUAGUUCGAAUGAAGCUCGGGAUGUCCUUCAGACGAAUACCUCUCAUACCAGGUAUCCAAUCAAUAACGGUGUCCAGAUACCCAUUUGUUAAGUAACUGGGGUCUUCAUGUCACAGAAAAAACAGAUUCAAAAAAAAAAAAAAAAAAAAAAAAUACAAGAAUCGGUACUGCUAACUCGGAUUUGAAAAUGUAUAUGCAAAUUGGGGUUUAGGUUGAUACCUUUAAGGGGUAUAAAACCCUUGUCGAUGAGAUUGCGAUACUGCAAGUAGCCCAUGAAGCCACAAGUACUAGUUGUCCAGAAAAGAACGUCAGGAAUGGCCAGUUCUUGGGCAGCAUCAAGAGUGAAGCUCAUGGCACCAUCAGAGACUAUGCAAGUGACAGGAGGCCCGUCGUGGUUAAGUUGGGAAAGAAGGUCUCGAAAAGGAUCUAAGCAGUUUUUUCUGGUGGAGGCGCAGAGGUAGCGGAUAUCUUGGGUGGCGUCUUCAUCGGACGGAGGGAGACCAUCGGAAAUGGUUUUGAAUUGGAAGGAAGGCAGAUCAUCAAGGGAGUUGGGGCCACGGGACUUGACCAGGCGCUUAUGGUUAAACUCCGUGUUGACGAAAGUAAUAUGUAAGCCUUUGAAACAGAGGAGCUUUGCUAAUUUUAGCAUAGGGUUUAUGUGGCCUUGAGCUGGGUAUGGUAUGCAAACUGCAUGAGGCUUCUCCAUGGAGACAACUCAGCUCUUUAUCUUUGCUCUCUCUUCCAGUCUUGUAUAUCAUCGUGCCGACCCAGCUCCGGUCUUAUAGGGCGGGAGAGAGAGGGUCUCUACACAAUAUGUUUAACUCUCGAAAAAUAUUAUUAAGGAAAAAAAAUUAUUUAAAAAAAUAUUUUUUUUAUAUUUAACUUUACUAUAAAAAAUUUCAAAAAAAAAAAAUCAAAUACAAUUAAAAUUAAUUAAACUUCAUUUAUAUUAAAUUUAUUUAACUUAUUAAUAAAAAUAAUUAAAAAAUAAUUUAUUAAUCUUAAAUUUAUUUUUUACUUUUUAUUAUUUUUUUCUCUUUCAAAUUUUCAGAACCAAACACAGCGUUAAAGAACACGCAUGCAGUCAUUUUUCACAUGCGAGGAUGUUGAUGGGUGUUGUCGACCACCUAACUCUCACAGUUUAAAUAAUAUAUAUAUAUAUUUUAAAAUUUUAACUACUUUUUUUUUUUAUGUAAAAGAACCCUACUUUUACUGUACCAGAGGUGAUGUCUUUUUGUUGGAAUUAGUAUCAAAUGGAUGCUUCAUUGUACCUAAGUUAAAGCAUGCUUAAAUUUUAAUUCUUGUAUAUCUUGUUUUCUGCAGGAUAUUAGAGUAAAACAGGUUUCACGCAUUAUUGGACGAUCACGCCAUUUCUCUUCCAGAGUUGGAAAGUCCAACGGAGAGCAGAACUCGUUUUCAAUGACUCAAUUAUUUUCCGUUGAUUCCGUUGAUUAGACGGGAUAGCAUCAUGGUAGGCCAGACGGGAUUUAGUCGGACUGAAAACUCAAUAAUUUAGACGUACACAACUUUAGAAAAGGAAUUGGGUUAUUGAGGACGAGGUUCGGAAAGGAAGUGGAAUUAGGACAAAAAUAGAAGACGAGUGAAAGACUCGGUUGAGGAACUGAGAACCAUGUUGAUGAGUAAUGCUGCGCGCAAGGCAAAGAACAAAAAGUAUGAUACAAGCACCCCGAAUCCUUGCGGUUUCUCCGUGUACCCGUCUUUUGUUUCCAAGGAAAGUGACGUUGGAGUAGUGAUUAUCCUGAGGCACAUUGCGACUCCCGUAAAGAUAACAAACUGCACCCUUUCUUGCUCUUGGUAUACCAUUUCUGAUUUCCAUGAUUAGCAAAAUCAGAAAAAUUUCUCCUGUUAUAGAAUAGAUAGCUAAAUUAGAAAAGUCAAUCUGUACAUAGCGUGAUGAGGUCCCUCAAUUUCUCCCAUCUCUUUUUACUCACUCUCAAAGCAGUAGGAAAAAGUAAACUGAUCCCCAUGCUGUCGUCGGCCUUACCCAGGAUAAAAAACUGUUGAUGUGGAAUCGUGUACUGCAAAUAAAUGAAGCACAUGUUCCAUGUGGUUUCAGAUGCGUUUUGCAUGCGUAUGGACACGACAAAUUGGCUUUCAUGCAAGUAGGAUCAAUUAUAACUCAAUCUUUAAUGAAAUAUUCUUAAUAGUUUUUUUUACCAAAAAAUUAUAUACUAACUAAAAGUUUGAAGUACUUUUUAUAUGAAGAACACAGCAUUACAAAAUAUCUUCAAUAUUCAGGUACAGCAUGAGUAUUUUUUUAUUUCGUAAACAAUACGUCAGACUAUUGAAAACAACAAAUGAAGCAUCCAGAGCAAAAUAAUAGACGAGUCAGAAUUCGCUGAGUUGGGACAUUCGAGAAAGGAGUGUCUAGGGUCUAGAGAAGAGCUUGAGUGAUCAUUUUGUCCAAGUUCGAGAAAGACGACCCCUUGGGACCUCUAGUGGCCUCUUCUGCUAGAGUCUUCCACUCCAAGGCCUUCUUCUUCAACUCUUUGCCUUUCUCUCCCUCCAUCAACUCCUUCACAAGCCUUUCAAUUUCAUCUCUCUUAACAUCGCUGUCUAUCUCCAUGCCUAUGCCCCACUCAGUGCAACAGUAGCGGCAGUUGGUUUGCUGCUCUGCAAAAAAGGGCCAACAAAUCAUAGGCACUCCAGCGCUCACACUUUCAAUUGUGGAAUUCCAUCCGUUGUGAGUUAAGAAGCCGCCAACAGCCGGGUGACUGAGAACUUGCUCUUGAGGACACCAACCUGCUAACAGACCCCUCUCUUUCGUCUCUGCCACGAAUUCUGGUGGAAGAAUGGCCGCGUCACCGGACACAAGAUCUGGCCUAAUUAUCCAUAAGAACGUCUGAUUGCUAUUCACAAGUCCCCAAGCAAACUCAUUGAGUUGCUGCGAUGUCAUCACUGUGAUGCUCCCGAAAUUCACGUAAACAACAGAGUUGGGCUCUUUGGAGUCCAGCCACUCCAGACAUUCCGGCUCUUCUUUCCACAGAUUCGAUUCCAUCAACUUCAAAUCGUUAUCUUGGAUCUGACUCAUGAGUUGGUGCAGGGGACCGAUGGUGUAGAUUGGGGGAAACAUCUGAGAAAGUGCAUCCAAAACUUCAUGCUCUAGAGCAUCAAAUGUAUUGAAAAUGAGGGCAGAAGCCUUGCGAGCUCUUUCAGCCUCCCGCAAUGGAAAUUCCAGCAUAAUUUCAUUUGGGUCCGUAGUUCGAAUGAAGCUUGGGAUAUCCCUCAAACGGAUACCUUUCAUACCCGGUAUCCAAUCAAUAACGGUAUCCAGAUACCCAUUUGUUAGGUAACUCUCAUCUGCAUUUCAUAGAAAGGAGGGGAAAAAAAUAUGAGAAUCCGUAUUGAGCUUAGCUUUGAAGUAAUUAAAUGCAAAGUUGGUCAGUAUUUGAUUCAUUUGAAUGAUACCUUUGAGUGGAGCCAAACCCUUAUCGAUAAGAUUGCGAUAUUGCACGUAGCCCAUGAAGCCGCAAGCACUAGUUGUCCAGAAAAGAACUUCAGGAACGCCAAGCUCUUGAGCAGCAUCAAGAGUGAAGCUCAUGGCGCCAUCAGAAACUAUGCAAGUGACUGGAGGGCCAUCGUGGUUGAGGUUGGAAAGAAGGUCUCUAAAGGGAGGCAGGCAGUGUUUUCUGGUGGAGACACAGAGGGCGGGAAUGUCUUGGGUGGCAUCAACAUUGGAGGGAAGGAGACCAUCGGGAAUGGUCUUGAAUUGGAAGGAGGGGAUGCCCUUGAGGGAGUCUGGACCCCGAGAUUUGAGCAGGCGGUUAUGGUUGUACUCUGUGUUGACAAAGGUAAUGUGGAACCCUCUGAAAUGAAGGAACUUAGCUAGUUUUAGCAUAGGGUUUAUGUGGCCUUGUGCUGGGUACGGUAUGCAAACUGCAUGUGGCUUCUCAGCUGAGGCUAAGGAACCCAUUCUCUCUCUCUCUAUCUCUCACUUUCACUCUGUCCUCAAUUGGUAUAUGCCCAUGACAUUGGAAGUAGCUUGGGUUUUAUAGCCCCAGGAGAGAGGGUCAAACAAGUUACUUAUAUUUAUAUAUAUAUUAAAGACAGAAGUCAGAAGUCAAAUAAAUGCUGCAAUAUUAAUAUAUGUACAGCUGUAUCAGAGAGUAACUAAAGGUCAAACUUGGCUCUCUCCUUUAUCUAGGUUAACCCACCUGUCCUCCAUACUUCACGGCAGGUGCCUAAUGCUUUUCAUAGGAGAUGUACAACAGAUUCAAUAUUUACACAAUUAUCAACUUUUAAUUACCUACCCCUUUAAUAUAUUACUCUUAAGCAAUAUAAACGAUAUACAAAUACCUAUUUUUGUAAUGCAGUAGGAUCUUGACAAUCAAUUAUUUGGUCCUGAUCCUGGAACCAUGUAUCAACAGCCGGUCACCCUUUAAAAAUCAUGAAUUAGACAACCCAUGCUUUUUUCGGACAAAAAACAACCGACAAGGGAUUUCCACAACUUUUUCUAAUGGAUGAACAUACCUUUUCUGUAUCUCUUUAUGUACAUAAACCAAUAAUUUGGGCAGUCCAAAAGCUUUGCGGAUUCUAUGUGGGGCUAAAUGGUAUCAUUCAUCUUCUGUGUUGGCCCGCAGUCGACAUGGCACAAGAACUUCACAAUUUGUACUGGUAUGGAGUUUAUUUUCUUAUUAAGAAUGUUUGUCCAAACCGAUAUGAUAUAUGGUUUGUAUUUGUGAAAGAAAUAUCUUCAAAUUCUGAAAAGGCAUAAACCUAACCCCGCCGCAAGCUAAAAGUUGACCAAAGAAAGUCGAUAAGCUUUUAAAACUCGUUCCAAGUUGUCGGAUGUCCACACCUAUAUAUUAUUAUUUAUAGGUGUGCGAAUGGAUGAGAAAUCUAUUAUAUAUGAUGUUAAUGGUUAAGUCGGACCCAUACAAACAAAAGAUGAAGUCGGUAUA